GGAUCGCAGGCUGCAACCCGCCUGCGUGAAGUCGGAAUCGCUAGUAAUCGCGGAUCAGCAUGCCGCGGUGAAUACGUUCCCGGGCCUUGUACACACCGCCCGUCACACCAUGAGAGUCGGGAACACCCGAAGUCCGUAGCCUAACCGCAAGGAGGGCGCGGCCGAAGGUGGGUUCGAUAAUUGGGGUGAAGUCGUAACAAGGUAUC
rnacentral:rRNA from 1 species